AAGAGCAAGUGUUUUAUUGGUCGAAAACUAAACCAAUCAAUUUAUAAGCCAAUCAGAACACGCUUUACAGAUGUUCUGUGACGUUAUUUUUAGAGGUCUCGCGAGAAGGAAGACGGACGCCAUUAUCGUGCAGGGCGAGAAAAAGCGAAGUUGGUUACCUAAGACUUGUUAACCCCAGUGUUGAGAAAGGAUGGCUGGUGAACAGCUGACUGAUGUGGUCCAGCUGGCUGUCAGUGAGAUAGCCACAGGUGAGCUGACAGAGGAAGAACCAGCUGCCAAACGGAUGCGGCGGAUGGAAAUCGUGAUGCCAGAGACCCAGCCAGAGAUCAGUAGGGACGAGUCCAGCUCCAUCAAGUCCAUCUUGUUCAACAUGAACAAGGCCAUCUGCCUACGUCUGGAAGGGAUUGAGAACAAGGUGGAAGGUCUGAGUAAUCGCACCAAGGUUCUGGAGGACAAGGUUGACGGGAUCGUACAGACCGUGAAGGAGCUGGGAAACAGACCUUCAGUCACGCCCCCUACCACCUCAAGGAAACAACACCACACCCCUCGGAGACAGAGUACAAUCGUCAUUGGACUGCCGGCAAACUCCGGAAACCAGUCACAGAACCAGGACCAGAGCCUAUCCACACAUAGUACAGAUAACGAAGAUGAUGUUCCCACUCCGAUCCCAACAAGACUCCAAGAAAAUGGAACUGAAGAAAUAGAUGAUGUGUGUCUCACAGCCAGCGGAGCAGUGGCCGUGCCCGAGGGAAAGAUGAAGGAUGAAAGUGCAGAAGUGGAGGAAGAGUCCAGCAGGAACCAGGGACAACGGUUCGGCCCUAAUGUACAGUUCAUCACGCUCAAUUCUGAAGAGGACUACCCAGGGGGAACUUGGCUGGGGGAUGAAAACAACAUAGAGAUGAGAGUCAGAUGCCCCAUUACACCCUCAGAUCUUCUCCACAUCCACCAGACAUGUCGGACAGCCGAGCGGAUGGCCCUGAUCCUGCUGGACUACCUGUUUGACCGUGAGACCCAGGCCAUGUCCAACAUCUCAGGCAUGGGCAGGCACGGCAAGAAGCAGCUGGACCCCCUCAUGAUAUACGGCAUCAGAUGUCACCUGAUCAGUAAGUUUGGGAUAACGGACGCAGAUUGGCACAGGAUCAAACAGAACAUCGACUCCAAGUGUCGGACGUCCUUCCGGCGCAGACAGCGGGGCCAGCCGCUCACGGUGAAGGCCUUCGCUCGCAAGCUUCCCAGCAAUAUGCACACUGUGUACGCGCAGGAGCUGCAUACAGUACAUCCUGAGGCACAGGCAGACCAGUUAUCACAGUUGGCAGUCAAUCAGGGUGACAUGGAGGUUCACAUCCAGGGGACAGCAAUCCAGCCAGGCGACACCGUAGCUGUCACUCAGGGCAACCAAGUACACCACCUCCAUAUCACACAGGCUGACGGCCACCAUGUUACGGUAAGUCCCACCCUAUCACAGUACACCACCUCCAUAUCACACAGGCUGACGGCCACCAUGUUACGGUUGCAGAUGGUACACAAGUCCACCAUGUGCAGAUCACACAGACAGCGGACGGACAGCAGGUUGCAAUCCCCCAGGUGCUUCAGCCAGGUGAAGAAGUGACGAUCCAGCAGGUGGCCAUGCAGCCAGGUGCCAUGUCCAUAGAGUCCCAGCCAACAGCCCUGCAUGGGAUGGAGACUACAGAAAUCCACAUACAGGAGGGGCAGAUACAGCAGAUCCAACAGCCCGACGAGGUGCAGAUCCAAGAGAUCGAGGGUCAGGAGGUCAGCAUGCCCCAGUGACCUCCGACCUAACGACGGACUGAACAUGUUCCCGUCUGUCUGCCGAUGUUACUUGUUGCAUUUCGUCAAGACUUUCUUCCAUUCAUUCGUUUUGCUUGUUGCCAUGGUAAUGGCAGCCAUGAUGGUUGCAAGAUUUUUGCUGUGUCAGAUCUACUUCCUUGUUGUAAAUUAGCCAUUUUUUUGUAUAAGGAAUGGCAAAACUUGUACUGAUAACCCUCUCUUUUGUAAUGUUGAUAUUCAUGAAUUAUGACUCAGUGGCGGCCCUGGUGUUAAAAUUUCAACUGAUAAGCUCAAAGAAUAUUUGCUUACUGCUUGUAAAUAAACUCCUGACUUAGACUGACAGUUGAAAAAUCACCUACUACAUUUAUAAAGGUUUUUGUAUUUUAGUGUGAGAUAUUGUAGCUAUAGCUAUAUGUAGCUGUUCUAUAUUGAAUUAGAUUAAUCCCUUACAUUGUCUUGAAAUGCAAGAAAAUACUUCUUCCUCAGAACUUUCAUCGAUUUGUACAUAUUGAAUUUAAGGUGACAGUGAAGUGCCAGAAUACAAGUUUGAAGGGUUGAUUUCUAAGCAAGAUGAACUGAUUCUUUGUCUUAUUUCGUUGUUGAAUCACUGAAAUGUCUGAUGAGGUAAUUACAAAAAAUAUAAGUCUACAGUUUAGAUAAAUAGUUGUACACAUCCUCGGAUUAGUGUAACUGCAUUUAAGUUUGCAGGGAUUUAAUCCCACGGUAGAGUGUUUGCUGUUAAUUUCCUAAUUGACACAAUGGGUUAGGCAGACUUACGACUUACAAUAAUUCUUGCGGUGGUGUUGUUUGCAUUGAAAAACGUAAACUAGUCAUAAUCAGUGAAAAUUUCCGUACUAACAGUAUAUCUUGCUUGAAUCUGUUACUUGAUAUUUUAUCUUCAAAAGUAGAAAACUAAAGAUUCGUGACAGGUUAUAUUCUGAAUCUGUCCCAGAACUUUUCUUGGCAGCUUUUUUCCAUUGUCAACUGUCCCUGGUCUCCAAGUUUUUCCAACAAUAAAAAGCUAUGGUUAGGUUGAAUGCAGCUCAGCAAAUUACUGUUGUGAAUUGACAGAAAUUUUUCGUUGGAAUCCUACAGACAUUGUACAAUUUAUGAGCCAGGCACAAAAUGAUUGUGUGGAUGAAUGAUCAGUUUUGAUAUUUUGUAAUAUAUUUCUUUGAAGUGUGGUCAUUGGAUGGAUGGAUCUAAAAUGAAUGAAAUAACAUUUUGGAAUUU